CACACACACACGCAAAUCUUAGGAAAAGGAAUUUGUGAAACUUUAUUAUUGCAUAUGUUUUUGAUCAAGCAAUGCAUUAACUCUCUAAGCAGCAUUAGUGUCCCAUGAGUGUUUCUUCCAGCAGUAUAAUGUCUGCCUAAUGCUAAUUUAAUCAGGAAUGUUGCAAAGCAAGGCAAAGUGAAAUGUUGAAAUACCUCCUUUCCCCACUGUCCCCUAGUGACCACUUUAUUUCAGUAGGAAUAUAUAAAUCCUCUUGAUUUGUUUGUCUCCUUUCAGGCUGAUUCGCCAAGUCUACCUGGAAGAAAAGACAGUAUUCCUUGAGCUCCAUGCCCUACUGGCACAGGAUAUAUGCUUAUACCAUUGUUUUUCUGUCAAUCAGCAACUUCUAAAGUGCUUUCUUUUUUUGAGACAGGGUCUCACCCUGUCACCCAGGCUGGAGUGCCAUGGUGUGAUCAUGGCUCACUGUAGUCACUGCAGCCUCCAUAUCUCAGGCGCAAGUGACCCACCUCAGCCACCUGAGCAGCUGUGCCAUCACACCUGGUUAAUUUUUGUAUUUUUUGUAGAGAUGGGGUUUCACCUUGUGGCCCAGGUUUAUCAUAAACUCCUAGGCUCAAGCAAUCUCCCCACCUCAGCCUCCCAAAGUGCAGGGAUUAUAGGCGUGAGCCACUGCACCUGCAGGACUUUCCCUAGUAUACAAGCUACUCUCUCUUGAAAAAAAAUAGCAGGAACCCAUUCCAAUGUGCAAGUUCCCCUAAAGUGCCACGUCAGAAUAACUUUCAUGUUUAAAAACAGCUGUCUUCACACCCAUUGUGAGGCUACAAAAGGAACAUUAAGAUGUCAAGCAAUUUAGAUUCUGUUAUCCAUUUCUCUAUGAAAAGAGAGAUGUGUUAAAAGUCUUUAACUACUUGAAGGGUUGUCGUGAAAAAUAAGAAUUUUAUUCCAGAGGACAGGAGUUAUACACAGGGAGGUGUAUUAUAUACUUGGUGAUAAAUUUUGUGUAGGCUAACUGUUUAAUAAAUUUAUCUGGUAAUGGAAUAAUCAGGCUUUUUGGUGGAAAGGUACAUGCAGAAGCUAAAUCAUCAUUCUGUUAAUAGUGUUUAAGAAAUUUCUUCAAUCCUGCAGCAGCGUGUCUUUCCAUUCAGCAUGACAGAUGCCUUUGUGUCCUUCGCCAAGGACUUCUGGCAGGUGGAGUGGCCACAGCCAUCUCCAAGCGAUAGCUCCCAUUGAGCCAGUCUAGCUGCUGCUGCAGGUGCAGCAUGCCAGCAAGCAGAUCAACGCAGAUAAGCAAUACAAGGGCAUUAUAGACUGCAUGGUCCGUAUUCCCAAGGCGAAGGGAGUCCUGUCCUGGUGUGGAAACCUGGCCAGUGUCAUCAGAUACUUCCCCACCCCGACUCUCAACUUUGCCUUCAAAGAUAAAUACAAGCAUAUCUUCCUGGGUGGCAUGGACAAGAGGACCCAGUUUGGCUCUACUUGGCAGGGAAUCUGGCAUCAGGUGGUGCUGCUGGGGCCACAUCCUUGUGUUUUGUGUACGCUCUUGAUUUUGCCCAUACCCAUCUAGCAGCUGACGUGGGUAAAGCUAGAGCUGAAAGAGAGUUCCACAGCCUCGGUGACUCUCUGGUUAAGAUCAACAAAUCUGAGGAGAUUAAAAGCCUAUACCAAGGCUUUAAUGUGACUGUGCAGGGUAUUACCAUCUGCCGAGCUGCCUACUUCGGUAUCUACGACACUGCAAAGGGAAUGCUUCUGGAUCCCAAGAACACUCAACAUCAUCAUCAGCUGGAUGAUCACACAGACUGUCACUGCUGUUGCCGGGUUGACUUCCUAUCCAUUUGACACCAUUUGCCGCCACAUGAUGAUGCAGUCAGGGCACAAAGGAACUGACAUCAUGUACACAGGCACGCUUGACUGCUGGAGGAAGAUCGCUUGUGAUGAAGGAGGCAAAGCUUUUUUCAAGGGUGCAUGGUCCAGUGUUCUCAGAGGCAUGGGUGGUGCUUUUGUGCUUGUCUUGUGUGAUGAAAUCAUGAAGUGCAUAUAAGUUAUUUUUUAGGAUUUUUCCCCCGUGAACAGGCAUUUUCUGUUAUAUAACAUACCUUAAGCAUUCUUGACAGACUCCUGGCAGUCAGUUUAUCAGUGGCAACUACUUACUUGUUGAAGAUGGGAAGCGAUAACAUUCAUCUGACCAGUUUUCUCUUAAAGUCAUUUCCAUGGUGAUGAUGAUGGCAGCCAAUUACAUUUUUUAUUUUAGUCACUCCUAAUAAUUUGGAGAAAUAAAAAUAUCUAAAAUUAAAAAUUCUUCAUUGAGAUAGAAUAUGGGCAAGAUGACCUUUAAGGUCCUUUUCAGUUUUAUCAUUGGAAAUCCCCAGAAGCAAUCUGAUAGUCUUACAACUUUGUCCUUUCAAAGUCCUUUAUAUUCAUUUAGAGCUCUUCAGGAAACCAGAGAAUUUUGGGCUUUGGUUGACAAAAGGGGUCUGACCUGUGUUCGUAGCUGGAAACAUGAAACAUGAAAUUCUGGGCUUAAUUCUUCUGAAGAAAUCUUUAAGUGGUUACUAACAUAAAUGACAUUACUAACAAAUUUAAAAGCCCAUGAUGUAUUAAAACUUUUACUCUUUAUUAUUAUUUUCAGACAGUCUCACACUAUUGCCUAGGUUGGAGUGCAGUGGCACGGUCUCAGCUCACUGCAACCUCUGCCUCCCAGGUUCGUGAUUCUCCUGCCUCAGCCUCCAAAGUAGCUGGAAUUGAUUACAGAUGUCUGCCACCAUGCUCAGCUAAUUUAUGCAUUUUUAGUAGCAAGGUUUUACCAUGUUACCCAGGCUGGUCUGGAACUCCUGACCUCAAGUGAUCUGCCCAUCUCGGCCUCCCAAAGUGCUGGAAUUAUAGGUGUGAUCCACUGUGCCCAACCCUCUUGAUAAUUUUUAUUCUUGUUUCUUCUUAUCUGUGGGACUCCAGUUCGAAUGGGGUUGGAAUUGUGGUGUUCAGUUUUAUACUAGUAUUUUACCCAAGUGUGUCAUGGCUUUUUCUAAUCAUUGUAAUAUCCACAGAAAUGCUGGAAGGGUAAUGGAAUAACAGGUAAAUUUGCUGUCAUUUUAUGCCACAUCCUCCUCUCUACUUUGCUUCUUGAUACAGAUUAUAAAGGUAAUUGUGAAAACAGCUGGACCUCAGAAGGUUGAGCUAAGAUUCUUUUUUUGGCAACCUGCAAGUAAUGUUUCAUUUUUUUUAUUACAUGAUCUCUUUCCCCAUAUAGUUGGCAGAUGUUUUUUUCCCCUUUCCUACCUUAAACUUUUUUGUUUGGAGUACAGUCUAAAACCAACAUCAGUUAGCCUUGAUUUUCUUUCUUUCUUUUUUUUUUUUGGACAACCACCUGGUUCAUUGAUAAGAGUAACAAGUUCGGAACUAAGAGGUAUGUUACAAGCUGCCCUUAACAACACCUGAAAACCCAAGAGUCAUCUGGAGGCUUUGUCAGUAGUAAGGUAGGUUUUGUGUGUGUGUGUGUGUGUGUGUGUGUGUGAGAGAGAGAGAGAGAGAGAUGGAAUAGGGUGAAGGUGAAGAAAUUGACUUGUGCCUGUUUUCAGAUAAAGGAGUAAAGUGAUCUUUUAUGAACUGUAACUGUCUUGAAAGAGAAACUGAUCAUCAGGUGGUCAAGUACUCUUGGAAUGUCUCUUGGCUGUUUACUGUGGCCUCUUUACAAUGCUAAUUUUUGCAUUUUUAGCAGAGAUGGGGCCCGUUGUGUACUUCUACUGCACUUUAUUCUUUACAAGGCACUUUCCACAGACAUCUCACUUGAAUUUCACAACACUCUUAUGAUGCAGAUUGGGCAGACAAUUUUUACACAUUUUAUAGUUAUGGAAACUGGCUUGGUGAGAUUAUCACUUACCCAAUAUCAAAAGCUUUUGUUUUACCUCACCCACUUCCUCCUUUUCUUUGUUUACAAACUUUUGAUAUUAGGUAAGUGGUGAUUUCACCAAGUCCUGGGCAUCCCAUCCCUGAGAGCACUGGCCAGAAAGACAGCAGAAUUUGAAUCCAGGUUUUCUGAUUCAGAGUUUUCCCCACUACGAUACCUUCCAAUUCAAGCAUAGUGUCUUCUCUGUAGUUUGCAUAAACACUGGAUAAAACUUUCUGGACAUGGAUCACUUCCAGUGUGACAGAUUGGACUGAAAUAUAACCUGGAAACUGCUUUUUACUAAAUUUCUAAUAGAAAAAUUAGACUUUUUUUUUCUCUUUUAAGAUGACAUG